rnacentral:rRNA from 1 species
GUUUGUGGCUAUACUACCUUACCAAUGCCCAAUCCUGUCUGAUCUUGGAAGCUAAGCAGGGCCUGGUUAGGACUUUGAUGGGAGGCACAAUGAGGCAGUAGUGGCUCUAGUG